rnacentral:rRNA from 1 species
ACGCUAGCUACAGGCUUAACACAUGCAAGUCGAGGGGCAGCAUGGUCUUAGCUUGCUAAGGCCGAUGGCGACCGGCGCACGGGUGAGUAACACGUAUCCAACCUGCCGUCUACUCUUGGACAGCCUUCUGAAAGGAAGAUUAAUACAAGAUGGCAUCAUGAGUCCACAUGUUCACAUGAUUAAAGGUAUUCCGGUAGACGAUGGGGAUGCGUUCCAUUAGAUAGUAGGCGGGGUAACGGCCCACCUAGUCUUCGAUGGAUAGGGGUUCUGAGAGGAAGGUCCCCCACAUUGGAACUGAGACACGGUCCAAACUCCUACGGGAGGCAGCAGUGAGGAAUAUUGGUCAAUGGGCGAGAGCCUGAACCAGCCAAGUAGCGUGAAGGAUGACUGCCCUAUGGGUUGUAAACUUCUUUUAUAAAGGAAUAAAGUCGGGUAUGGAUACCCGUUUGCAUGUACUUUAUGAAUAAGGAUCGGCUAACUCCGUGCCAGCAGCCGCGGUAAUACGGAGGAUCCGAGCGUUAUCCGGAUUUAUUGGGUUUAAAGGGAGCGUAGAUGGAUGUUUAAGUCAGUUGUGAAAGUUUGCGGCUCAACCGUAAAAUUGCAGUUGAUACUGGAUAUCUUGAGUGCAGUUGAGGCAGGCGGAAUUCGUGGUGUAGCGGUGAAAUGCUUAGAUAUCACGAAGAACUCCGAUUGCGAAGGCAGCCUGCUAAGCUGCAACUGACAUUGAGGCUCGAAAGUGUGGGUAUCAAACAGGAUUAGAUACCCUGGUAGUCCACACGGUAAACGAUGAAUACUCGCUGUUUGCGAUAUACAGCAAGCGGCCAAGCGAAAGCGUUAAGUAUUCCACCUGGGGAGUACGCCGGCAACGGUGAAACUCAAAGGAAUUGACGGGGGCCCGCACAAGCGGAGGAACAUGUGGUUUAAUUCGAUGAUACGCGAGGAACCUUACCCGGGCUUAAAUUGCAGAUGAAUUACGGUGAAAGCCGUAAGCCGCAAGGCAUCUGUGAAGGUGCUGCAUGGUUGUCGUCAGCUCGUGCCGUGAGGUGUCGGCUUAAGUGCCAUAACGAGCGCAACCCUUGUUGUCAGUUACUAACAGGUUCCGCUGAGGACUCUGACAAGACUGCCAUCGUAAGAUGUGAGGAAGGUGGGGAUGACGUCAAAUCAGCACGGCCCUUACGUCCGGGGCUACACACGUGUUACAAUGGGGGGUACAGAGGGCCGCUACCACGCGAGUGGAUGCCAAUCCCAAAAACCUCUCUCAGUUCGGACUGGAGUCUGCAACCCGACUCCACGAAGCUGGAUUCGCUAGUAAUCGCGCAUCAGCCACGGCGCGGUGAAUACGUUCCCGGGCCUUGUACACACCGCCCGUCAAGCCAUGGGAGCCGGGGGUACCUGAAGUGCGUAACCGCGAGGAGCGCCCUAGGGUAAAACUGGUGACUGGG